ACAGCCAUAUCAUGUUGAAAUACCAGUUCCCAUAUGAUCACCAAUGUUAAGCAUUGCCAAGCCUGGCCAAUACCUAGAUGGAUGACUUCUUGGGAAUGACAGGUGCU